AUGGACCCUGGAAUUCGUAACCAGCGUUGGAAGAUCAAAGCCCUCCAGGAGUCGAUCGACUCCAACCCCAUCCAUACUCCAUUCUUCAUACUGACGGAAACCCACCUCAAGUCCUACCAUCUGGAUGCAGAAGUGCACAUCUCUGGCUACUCUUGCUACCGGGCAGAUGGAGUAAACCGUGUGAGAGGUGGGGCUGCCAUCUACCUACACAAUUCGAUCACGGUUGAGAAAAGUAGGGUUUUCUCCAACUCCUAUUGUGAAAUUGCUUGCGUUUACAGUAAGGAACUCAACAUGAUCAUCGCUGGGAUUUAUCGUCCACCCCUGUCACCUUUCGACAAAUUCGAUGAAUGUCUGGUUAUCCUCCAUCGCUUCAUUGAUGAAGUGGGAUCUACCCCUGAACUCCACAUAGCGGGUGAUUUCAACCUCCCUUUUGUCAACUGGAGAACUUCCUCGGUUGAUCCCGGGUGUAGCAUCCUGCUGUCAGACAGGCAGACUGCACUCUCCCUCAUCGCCUUCAUGGAAGAACACUUCCUACUUCAGUUGCCAACUCGCAACAGCAACAUACUGGACCUCGUUUUCUCCAACAACUGUGAUUCUGUCCACAGCACAACCGUAGCGAAGACAGAAAUGUCCGAUCACGACUUCGUCAACUGUGUCCUCCUCCAUCCUGACCUCCUCCCUCCAUCGCAGACUCCUGAACGACUCGUCUUCACUCCCUCAUGCCCCCUGGACGACAUUAACUUCAAUUCGGCAGACUGGGGAGCCACCAACUCCGAAUUCCAGAGCAUGGACUGGUCUAACGUCACUGAUACAAGAAACGACCAGGACACCGCCUGGAAACUCUUUGAAGACACAGUAGCUAACAUCUGCUGCAAACAUGCCCCCUCCCAUACGCGGGGUAUGGAAGCUUCUGCGAAAUCCUCCAUCCCAAGACCUAGAAGGGAUCUCCUCCGUAAAAAACGCCGCCUAAAUGGCCACAUCAACGCCAUAAAAUAUUGUUCUAGAACUCCAAGGAACAACACUAAGCUCGAGCAGCUCAACAAAGAACGCGCAACCAUCGAAAUUCUUCUGAAGGAUAACAUCAAGAGGGAGCGCCUUCUUCAGGAAGUAGCAGCUAUUAGCAAGAUAAAGAAGAACCCUACAGCCUUCUUUACCUUUGCUAAGAAAUCGGCUAAGUUCAGAUCUUCUGUUGGUCCCCUCGUUGAUGGCGACAACAAGCUUGAAUCCGAUUCAGCCCGAAUGGGCGACAUCCUCCAACAACAGUACAAACAAGCUUUUAGCAACCCAAACAAUGUGGAAGCUAACAACAUCAAGCUACAUCAGCAGACGGCCGAGUCUUUGACAGACAUUACUCUAACUCAAGAUGAUGUUCUGGAGGCAAUCAAAGAUAUCGGGAUCCACUCAGCCCCGGGUCCGGACAAGUUCCCUGCUGUACUUCUCCAUGAGUGCAAAGACGCACUAUCCCUCCCCAUCCUCCACCUCUGGAGAUGA
rnacentral:lncRNA from 1 species